GACGAACGCUGGCGGCGUGCUUAACACAUGCAAGUCGAACGGACCGCUGGGAGCUUGCUUCUGGUUGGUUAGUGGCGAACGGGUGAGUAACACGUGAGUAAUCUGCCUUGGACUUUGGGAUAACUAUCUGAAGGGGUAGCUAAUACUGGUUAUUCUGCAUGGGCCGCAUGGUCUGUGUUGGAAAGGGUUUUUCUGGUUUGAGAUGGGCUCGCGGCUUAUCAGCUUGUUGGUGAGGUAAUGGCUUACCAAGGCUUUGACGGGUAGCCGGCCUGAGAGGGUGGUCGGUCACAUUGGGACUGAGAGACGGCCCAGACUCCUACGGGAGGCAGCAGUGGGGAAUAUUGCACAAUGGACGAAAGUCUGAUGCAGCGACGCCGCGUGAGGGAUGAAGGCCUUCGGGUUGUAAACCUUUUUCGCCCUUGAACAAGCCGCAUUUUGUUGUGGUGAGGGUAUGGGGUAAAGAAGCACCGGCUAACUACGUGCCAGCCGCCGCAGUAA
rnacentral:rRNA from 1 species